rnacentral:rRNA from 7 species
AUAACAAUACCGGACGCGUUAGUGUCUGGUAAUUGGAAUGAGUACAAUCUAAAUCCCUUAACGAGGAUCCAUUAGAGGGCAAGUCUGGUGCCAGCAGCCGCGGUAAUUCCAGCUCCAA